GUUAAAUUUAGACAGUCCCUAUGAUUGUAGACGCUGAUAUAGCAAGGCAUUUGGACAGGGGUUCGACUCCCCUCGGCUCCAUUA
rnacentral:tmRNA from 1 species